UACGUAUGGUGCAAGCGUUAUCCGGAUUUACUGGGUGUAAAGGGAGCGCAGGCGGCACGGCAAGCCUGAUGUGAAAGCCCGCGGCCCAACCGCGGGACUGCAUUGGGAACUACAGGGCUGGAGUGCCGGAGAGGUAGGCGGAAUUCCUAGUGUAGCGGUGAAAUGCGUAGAUAUUAGGAGGAACACCAGUGGCGAAGGCGGCCUACUGGACGGUGACUGACGCUGAGGCUCGAAAGCGUGGGGAGCAAACAGG
rnacentral:rRNA from 1 species